ensembl:snRNA U6 U6 spliceosomal RNA
AUGCUCACUUUGGCUACACAUAUACUUACUUAGAGUGAUACAGAGAAGAUUCGCAUGGCCGCUUUGCAAGUCUGGCAUGCAAAUUUGUGAACCAUUCCAUGUUUCU